ACACGCGCGCCGCUUCCACGCACAACGGUUGUUGUCUGGGUUUGUCUAUCUGUUCUCUUAAGCCAACUCCUUUAUGUCUACCAGAAGACGCCUCAGCCUUGCUCCAUAGCAAAAUGGAAGGAAAGAAAUAUUUUUAUAUAUCUAUUUUCCUUUUCGCUUUGGCUAUAAAAAGCCAAUUAAAAUCUGUAUACCAGGGGAAAAAAAAGAAAUAGAGGAGAAUACUGAAAAUUGAAAGAAAAACAGUGAAAUAGAGGAGAAUACUGAAAGUCGAAAGAGGUGAAUCGCAUCUUUGAUUAUUCAUUAUUUAUUUUUGUUGUUUUUUUACUGCUUUUAUAUUGAACCAAGGGGAAAAAUACUACCUUCGUGGUUACGCCGUGGGGAUCCAAGUCUGCCACGCCUGAGUCGGGGUCGGAAUCGGUGCCGGAAUUUUGACCGACCGAAUCGCUUCAAACGGCGGUGCAAGGAUGGGUUAAAAGAACCCUAGCAGAGCCACAUUUUGUUUUUUUAAAAAGGAACCAAAUGAUUUUGUUUUUUCUUUUUUUUUUUCAGUUUUGUUUCAUUUAUGCAGCACACAAAGAUGGCACCGCUUGGUUUGGGGGUCUGCGCAUAUCAACCUUAAAUGGUAGAAUUGCGCAAUAAGUCCUCCCCCUUUGCGCCAUGUUUUAUUAAGUCAGUUAUUUCUUUUUAAUUUGGCCCAAAUGUUUUUACCUUGUUUCAAAUCGGUCCCCAUUGCGGCGCAGCGUUUUAGGGAGGCGGAUUAUUUCCAUUAGGGCCCCCUCAUAUAAUGCGUGCGUUGCAAAUUGGUCCCUGUUCUAUUUUAAUUUCGUUUUCUGGUUAUUUUGUUCUUUUUUUUGCAAUUCGUUUUUUUUUAAUUUUUAUUUUUAAAUUUAUUACUAUAUUAUUUAUUAUCAUUUAUUACUAUUUCUAUAUUCAUACAUGCAUUUUUUAUAUAGUAUAUAUAUAUAUAUACAUAUUUCUUUAUUUAAUAUUUUUUAAGCUUUUAUAAAUACAUGCAUUCAUACGUGUUAAAAUUUUCUUUUUAUAUAUAGUUUUUUUUUGUUUUAGCUUUCAUAUACUUUAUAUUAUAUAUGUAUCCAUAAGCAUUUUUAUUUUGUAAAUAUAUGCAUAUCCACAUACUUUUAUAUUAUUUUACUCCCAUAAAUUUUUUUUUUUACAUUCAUAUAUACGUGCAUACAUACAUAUUUAAAUUCUCAUACACACAUAUUUUUUUAUAUUUUAUAAAUUUUGAUUCCAUAGUUUUUAUAAACAAGUAUAUAUAUAUACAUGUACAUACACUUUUAUUUUAUAGUACAUACGAAUUUUCCUUAUUCUGGCGCAUAUGCAUUUUUUUAGAAAUUAUUAUAAAUUUUGCCUUUUUAUAUGUACACUUAUAUAUGUGUUUUAACAUAUGUGUACACAUAUUUGCAAGUUUACUUGUAUAUUGUACUUGUAUAUAUAUAUUUGUAAAUAUUUAGUCAUAUAUGUUUUAAAUCAAAGCAUUUGUAUCAUAUUCUACAUUACCUUUUUAACAUACCCUUUUUGAAAAUAUGUUUUGGUUUUAACCAUACAUCAAAGUUAUUUUCUUGCUUCAAAGGUUUUUUUUGAAUAAAAGCAAUAUUCGAAGUUUGGGAUUUUCGAGGGAAAUUGAGCCCUAACAUAUUGAGUUCGGAUUUUCUUUGUUAAUCUUAAAUAACCGAGGAUAUUCUUUAUUCAAAACACAUGAGUAUAAAAAUCAUUUCUGGGAACUUAACUUGUUGUGUCCUAACGUAUUGGGUGUGGCAUGUUACUUUCUCAAAAUGAAGAUUUUCGCAUAAAAUAAAAGUGAUAUUCAAAGUUCGGGAAUUAUGAGGAAUUGUACCCUAAUGUAUUGGGACUCGAUUUAUUUACAUGACUUGAACAAUUGAUUAUCCUUUUGCAAAUUUUAUCAUCUGAGCUGAUUUUAAAAUAUUUUUAACCUUCGACACUAAGACAUUAAAUGAUCAAUUUGGUACCGAUUGUGGGCGUUACGAGGGUGCUAACCCUUCCUCGUGCGUAACUGACUCACGAACUCGUUUUCUCAAAAUUCGUAGACCAACAUAUUUUUUAAGGUGAGCCGAUCACACCUUAAUAAAGGAUCGGUGGUGACUCCAGUUUUAUUUUUAAAGUCGACAACUGAAAUUUUUGCUUUCAAAAAACGGUUUCGACAGCUUGGCGACUCCACUGGGGACUUUAGAGAGUCGAGCCAUAAACUGAUUAUGUUUGUCUUUGUGUCGGAAAUCAAAAGUUUUUUUAAAAAAAUUCAUGAGUUCCCUUCAUACUCAUUGAUUUUUUUUCUUUCCCAUCAUGGUGUUAGCAACUUUGUAUUUGCAUUUACAUUUUGCAUUACAUGGUCAGUUUUACCCUUUAAGUGGGAGCGAGAAACUAGUCCUUCGUGAGGUCUUCACCUCCGUGUAGGGUAGUGGACCGCUUCCGGGAUACAUCCGUACCUAUGUCUUCGUGAGAUUUUCAUCUCCGUGCAGCCAUAGGGAAAUGUAUCCCCCUGAACUGAAGUCGAUCCACAUGAGCCUAUAAUGGGUGAGGAUUGAGGAAUCUGCUGGUUCGGGUACCCUUACUCUAGAAACUAAGCCUCAUAUAGUGAGUUUUAGGAACUUGCCCUAGGUAGAGCUAUACCAAACCCUAGUGGAUUCCUAAAUAAAUGCUCUUGCUAUUUCAUGUUUGUAUUGGAUUAUAUCUUUUUGGUGUGAUACUGACUUGGGUUUAUUUUGUUUUGAUUGCAUGACAUCAUGAUUGCAUUGCAUUUUCAUCAUAAAAAGAGGUGUUGAUUCACGUUCGAUUGUUAAAUAGAGAGCUUGUCAUAAGGAAAUGGGUUUCUUGAUAAAGUGGAAAAUAAUACGGUUGCCCGAAUAUGUUCCGAGAAAACACAACAAGAGAAAGAUAAUAGUUUAAUGGAGGACUACACAACCAUUGCUCCGUUGCCCGAAGACUCAAGCUGACGAAAAUUAUUCGAGAGCCGCUGAACUUUUUUUUAAAGGGAAGCCAACGAGUAUCACGACGGUAAAAGAGCAACGAGUCACGGCCCGGAUCAAGUAAAAAGCAGAUAGAAGAGACAUCCCUUUUGAAGAGUUCGUGAGAUUUAUCUUAAUGCUUGAAUGAAGAAGAGGAUCGAAUGACUCCGCCUAUAAGGGCAAAAUCGUAUAUAUAUCUGCUUUAUGUAAAGAGAUUUGUUUUCUAGUAAAGUUGUUCUAAUAGAAUUGAACCAAGAAUCAACGUCUCUUUUCGCAUUCACUUCAUGCAUUUGCAUUACACAACAUUACAUGCAUUAAGGGCCAUUAAAAGACCCUAAUUGAGUAAAUUUAUUUCAGCUAAAAAACCAACAUUCCUGCGGUACCCGAACAGAAACUAAAGGAAUGGACCAAAGGUUGGAGAGAUUAGAGCUGAUGCAAAUACAGAUGCUAGAGUAAUUGGCCAAAUUUCAACAAGAUAUGAAGGAUUAGAUGCUAGAAAUCCAAAGAAAUUUGAUGAGCCAAUUAACCCAGUUAUUGGAUAUGAGGUUAGGAAAAGGAAAAAACCCAAUGGUCCACUUUGGGAAUGAUAAUGAAGGCCUUGCAUAUCUUCCAGGCUUUACCCCAACAAACAUCCAAGUACAACCAAACACAUAUCCACAAAGGGUAACUGUUAACAUUCGACCACAGUACCAGACCAAUACCUCGACACCGGUGAAUUUCACUACAGGCUCAGGUUCCAAUCUUAGGGGCAAUCUAACUAAUCCUGUUGUCAUCGAUGAUCUAGCAGAAACAAAACAGGCGAAACUAGAGUUUUCAAAACAAUUUGAAGAUUGUUGCAAACGGAAUGGGCAAGAGUGGAACUCCCAAGACAAUACUUCAAAAGUCUCGAGGAAGAGGAAAAAUGAGGUGAAUAAUGUGGGUAGGUAUAACGAGAGUUAUUCAAAGCCGAUUACCGCAAACCAGCCAAAGACGGUUACUAUUGGCCAUCAGAUCCCUCCAAGACAAGAAUCUGGCACAAAGCAAAACAUUAAGAAGUCUCAAUUUACACCAAUCCCAAUGUCGUACCAGGAGCUGUAUCAAAGUUUAUUUGACGCACAUGUUGUCUCCCCUUUCUACUUGAAGCCUUUACAACCUUCGUACCCCAAAUGGUACGACACAAAUGCGCAAUGUGACUAUCAUGCGGGAAUUACGGGGCAUUCUAUAGAAAAUUGCACUGCCUUUAGAAAGCUGGUCGAAAGGUUUAUCAAUAUGGGCAUUGUCAAAUUUGAGGAUUCUUUCAGUACAGAAAACCCGCUACUCAAUCAUACGGAUAAUGAAGGGACUGCGAUAAAUGAAGAAAUGUUGGGAAACGUUCACAUCAGUGCCGAACACAAAGAAACAACUAGAGAAGAGAUCUUGUUAGAUGUUCGCCCUUUAUAAACCUGGGAAUGUUCUAAAUAGUUGGACUGCAGAGGAAACCCUGUAGUAUUUAGAGUCUGUUAGAGUAAUGUUCAGAACACACUUGUUGCUUUCAGCCUAGAAGCAAUAAGAAUUUCUUUGUGAGAUAGGCUCACGUCUAAACAUUAUUAUUUUAAUGAAAUACAUUAUUGCAAUCAUCUUUGAGCAAAUGUUCUUUCAUUCUUUACGUUUUUUUCCAUUCUUUCAAAUUUUUUCUGCCAAAUUAUUCAUUCAUUUAUUCAUAUUACUCAUACAUUCUUUUGUAUAUUCUUCGGUACCCACUAUGGGUCCCCAAAUAUCAAUGACAUGAGUGAUGCUGCAGCAGACCCAGAAUCUCAUUUUGAGUGAGACAUGUGUUUAGAGGGAUCUCACAACUUUGAAGAUGACAUGGAUUGUAGCUUAUUUCUGGACUUAUUAAGGAUGGUAGAGCAGGAAGGAAAUUUUACCUCAUGAGGAGACAAUAGAAACUGUGACCUUGAGGGAACAUGCAUGAUCGAAAAAAUAAAGCAAGGCGUUGCUGAGUUAUUUCAAGCAUUCAAAGAUGCCUUCGUAUGGUCAUACCAGGAUGUACCCAGUUUAAGCGCUGUCAUUGCAAUUUGAACAACAGCCCGAUAUCAGAAAUUUGCAGUAUGUUCAAGGUGAAUAUCAUGAAUGGUGCAGUGAAAACUCUACCGGGGCAAUGCCACUCUUUUUAGUUUAUCACGUUGUUUCAUUAAAGUUGAAAUUCCUUCUCUUCGAGUUUUGACUGAGCUGAAGUAGGAUAAAGAUCCAAUCCCGACACGAUUAGUUGAACUUAAUUGAAGAAAAAGGCUAGAAACUAUUCAUCAAGGUCAGAUGUACCAAGAAAUGAAUGAUGCGAGCCUAUAGCAAAAGGUUUGUCCCAGAGAAUUCCACGAUGGCAACCUAAUGCUGAAGAAGAUCCUCACUCUACAAAAAAAAUAUAACGGAUGCCAAAUUGGGAAAAACAUUAUGUUAUAGAGAAGGUCUUUUCCAAAGGAUCUUUGAUUUUGAGCGAGUUGGAUGAUAAACCUGCAAAGUCCUGUAAACUCAGGUUCAGUCAGGAAAUACUCCGCUUAAAGAAUGAGAUGACCAAGGUGAAAACCCACAAAGGGUGCUUUGAGUCCAAAAAAAUAAAAAGAGAAAAAGAGAAAAAGAGAAAAAUGGAGAGGCUAAGGUGAAAACCCAUAAAGGGCACCUUGAGACCAAAGGGGAUUUGAGUUGAAAACCCGAAAAGGGCGGCUCAAAUAUUGAUCAGAAUGAGGCAUGAGGUAAUCAGAGCAGCUCAAAUACUGAUCACAAUGGGGCAUGCAGUGGUCUUGCUAUACUUGAAUCAACAGGAAAUGGUAGGCGACAUCUUGGGGCAUCGACAAAGUACUUCUAAACACAUGUUAAACUCAGAAUGGUCUUCAGAAAGUUUGUACAAAGAAGUUCAAGCUGCGAUAUCUGGGGCACCUAAUCCUUAUACCAUUUUCUGUUAUUCUUGGAACACUUCAUUCAUUUCCAAGAUGCGCAUUCCUAAAUCAAUUUCUUUGUUAUCCAUCUUUAUUAUCUUUGAUAAUCUAUUCAUUUCAGAGCCAUGCUCUAAAUCAAUUCAAAUCCUACCCAUUGUUAUAAUCUCUUGCAAGCAUGUUGCAUUAGAAUAAUGAUGAAUAGACUAAUAAAACUUUCACAACAGAAGUUUUGUAUAUUACUCUAGAAGUUUCUAAAUAAUACAGGAACUUGAAACAGGACUAUUGUUUAGAACGCACCAGGUUGGAAAUCUGAUAAGGAAAAGUCUAAAUUCAGACUAUCCCUUUGAGUUUUACUGUCUAAAACAUCGAUUGAACAAUACGGCAAGAUGUCGUGUUGGUGACAAAGCUUAAAUGAACAAGCAAGCAAUGAUCACCGAAUAAUAAGAAUAAGUUGUUCUUGGAGAAAACAAUUCUUCAUUUUCGCAUGAGCAUUUGGUAGGACACCCUGGGAAUGGUGUAAGAGACCAAAGAGUUUUACAUCCUGUAUCCUUGAAUUGUGAUAGUAGAGGAUUAAGAAAGGCCAAAUCUUUUUCUCAUGGGUUACAACGGGAGAAAGAUGGUACAAAUUUUACAUCCCAGUGGAUCGAACUUGAAGGUUUACAGUGGGGGCAACCUGAUUAAAUGUUUCCUCAGAAAAGCCAGCUAAGCAAGAAGGCGUUGUAGCACGUCAGUGAUAAAGCCUUAAUAAACUUUGAGCAAUGAUAGCCUAAGAAGGAUCAUUCUUGAAAAAAUAUAAAAUAAAAUUAUGUAUUCAUGCAAACACCAUUCACAUCUGUUUAGUUAGGAGCAUUUGAUUCAUUUUUGAUCAUGUCAUCCUAAUCAUUAGGCAUAAUUAGGUUCACUAUACAGGUCAUGUUCCCCAGAGAACAGAUCAGUGAUGCUAACAGAUAUUGCCUUCCUGCAUCGAAAGAGUGAAGCAGAUCGAAGACACCAACCUCGCCUCCCUCAGAGACAGUGGAGCAGGUUGAAGAUAGCAGAUCUUGCCUUCAUGCAUAGACAGCGAAGCAGAUCAAAGAUGACAGAUUUUACCUCCCUGUGGUUACAGUGGAGUACAUUGAAGCCAGUAAUUCUACUUCCCUGGGCAGCAGUGGAAUAGAUUGAAGAUUUCAGAUCUUGCCUUCUUGCAUCGACAAUGAAGCAGAUCGAAGAUGGCGGAUUUUACCUCCCUGAGGUUACAGUGGAGUACAUUGAAGCCAGUAAUUCUAUCUCCCUGGGCAACAGUGAAAUAGAUUGAAGAUUACAGAUCUUGCCUCCCUAAGCAGUAGUGGAGCAGAUCAAAGAUGGCAGAUUUUACCUCCCUGAGGUUACAGUGGAGUACAUUGAAGCCAGUAAUUCUAUCUCCUUGGGCGACAAUGGAAUAGAUUGGAGAUUUCAGAUCUUGCCUCCCUAAGCAGUAGUGGAGCAGAUCGAAGAUGGCAGAUUUUACCUCUCUGAAGUUGUAGUGGAGUAUAUUAGUAAUUCUACUUCCCCUGUUGGCGUGAAGUAGAUCAAAGAUAGCAGAUCUUGUCUUCCCAUACUGGUGGCGAAGUAGAUCGAAGAAAGUAGAUCAAAGAUGGUGGAUUUUACCUCCCUGAGGUUGCAGUGGAGUACAUUGAAGCCAGUAAUUCUAUCUCCCUGGGCAACAGUGGAAUAGAUUGAAGAUUUCAGAUCUUGUCUCCCCAAGCAGUAGUGGAGCAGAUCAAAGAUGACAGAUUUUACCUCCCUGUGGUUACAACGGAGUACAUUGAAGCCAGUAAUUCUACUUCCCUGGGCAGCAGUGGAAUAGAUUGAAUAUUUCAGAUCUUAUCUCCCUAAGCAGUAGUGGAGCAGAUCAAAGAUGGUGAAUUUUACCUCCCUGUGGUUACAGUACAUUGAAGCCAGUAAUUCUACUUCCCUGGGCAGCAGUGAAAUAGAUUAAAGAUUUCAGAUCUUGUCUCCCUAAGCAGUAGUGGAGCAGAUCAAAGAUGGUGAAUUUUACCUCAUUGUGGUUAUAGUGGAGUAUAUUGAAGCCAGUAAUUCUAUCUCCCUAGGCAGCAGUGGAAUAGAUUGAAGAUUUCAGAUCUUAUCUCUCUAAGCAGUAGUGGAGUAGAUCAAAGAUAAUGGAUUUUACCUCCCUGUGGUUACAGUGGAGUACAUUGAAGCCAGUUACCCUAUCUCCCCGAAGUUGCAGUAGAGCAGAUCGCAUCAGAUUUAUCUUUAAGUUGUGGCAGAACAAGUUAAAGCUAUAAGUCUCAUCUCCAUGAGUUUACAGUGGAGCAGAUUAAAGAUAGCAAAUUUUGUUCUUUUGAGGAGCUACAACGUAGAAAUCCUAUCUCCCCGACAUUGCAGUGGAGUAGAUAGAAACACCAAUUCCUAUACCUCUCAGGAUGCAGUAGGAAGGAAUGAAGCUAUUGGAAGUAGAGAAGCAAUGAAGAAAUCGAGGCUUAGUAAAACCGGGCAUAAUUGGGUAUUUUAGUCUUUGCUCUGUUCCCGUCACACGACAACGAGUAAAGAGGGGCAACUGUAAUACCAAUUAUUUACCCGGGCCCACAUAAUAAUUAAAACAGAAAAAAUAAACAGUCCAAUACUAGCAGGCCCAAUAGCCAAUUUUCAAACCCUAGCCAAGCAAAAUUAAUUUGCUGAAAUCCUCAACCGGCCUCCCCUACACGCGCGCCGCUCCCACAUACAACAGCACCCACGUUCUCCUCCACAUUGACUGGCCGCAUACCUGCAAUACAACAAACAAGGAGCAAAUAGCGAAAAGAAAGGGAUUCAUAGCAAAAUGGAAUGAAAGAAAUAUUUUUAUAUAUCUAUUUUCCUUUUCGCUUUGGCUAUAAAAAGCCAAUUAAAAUCUGUAUACCAGGGGAAAAAAAAAGAAAUAGAGGAUAAUACUGAAAAUUGAAAGAAAAACAGUGAAAUAAAGUCGAAAGAGGUGAAUCGCAUCUUUGAUUAUUCAUUAUUUAUUUUUGUUGUUUUUUUACUGCUUUUAUAUUGAACCAAGGGGAAAAAUACUACCUUCGUGGUUACGCCGUGGGGAUCCAAGUCUGCCACGCUUGAGUCGGGGUCGGAAUCGGUGCCGGAAUUUGGACCGACCAAAUCGCUUCAAACGGCGGCGCAAGGAUGGGUUAAAAGAACCCUAGCAGAGCCACAUUUUGUUUUUUUAAAAAGGAACCAAAUGAUUUUGUU
rnacentral:lncRNA from 1 species